UGGGGAAUAUUGCACAAUGGGCGCAAGCCUGAUGCAGCAACGCCGCGUGAGGGACGACGGCCUUCGGGUUGUAAACCUCUUUUAGUAGGGAAGAAGCGAAAGUGACGGUACCUGCAGAAAAAGCACCGGCUAACUACGUGCCAGCAGCCGCGGUAAUACGUAGGGUGCGAGCGUUGUCCGGAAUUAUUGGGCGUAAAGAGCUCGUAGGCGGUCUGUCGCGUCUGCUGUGAAAACCCGAGGCUCAACCUCGGGCCUGCAGUGGGUACGGGCAGACUAGAGUGCGGUAGGGGAGAAUGGAAUUCCUGGUGUAGCGGUGGAAUGCGCAGAUAUCAGGAGGAACACCGAUGGCGAAGGCAGUUCUCUGGGCCGUAACUGACGCUGAGGAGCGAAAGCGUGGGGAGCGAACAGGAUUAGAUACCCUGGUAGUCCACGCCGUAAACGUUGGGCGCUAGAUGUGGGGCACCAUUCCACGGUUUCCGUGUC
rnacentral:rRNA from 1 species